GGGUCAGGGUCUCUGAGUCAAAAGUUAGAGCUUUAAUGGGUUAUUCUUGGAUUUCUCGUUCUCUUGGUGGGAUCUUCCCUGUUAUUGGUGGACCCUUGUAGUUCCGUAACUUAUUAUGGUUUGAUUUUUCAUUUUUAAUGGCAAACUAGGCUAGGAUCUAUUCAAUAAAAUUAUGGCUUUCCCCGAAAAUAUUCAUCUUUCGAGCUGCUCGCUGUUGGUGGAGAUUGGGUCAUGUUACUUUAUAGUUCACGGGAGCUCUAAUAUGCUUUUCCCCCCUAUGGAAAGAGAUUAAUUUUAGGGAGUGGUGCAACUAAGGAGGAAGAGGGAUCGAGAGAUGUAGAGUAGUUAUCUGUUGGUUAAGUACAAAUAUCUAAUUGUUUUAUGGGAUGUAGUUUCCCAAUUACUAGAAACGGUUGUGCUCCAUUCUAGGUUGCUGUGAUAGCUUUCAUGAAUUCUACUGGUAGAUAGUUACUUUUAGUGGAGUGUAAUCAAUUUUUUCCUUGUAAUUCAUGUUGCCUAGUGACAGUGCCUCUAAUGCCUGGUGUGUUCCCUUAGGGAUCAGGAAGGUUUAGGACUGCAGAUUUCUUGAUGAGCAUGGAGAGGAAGGUUGCGGUGUAACUACAAGAUAGUUUAUAGCUCUUGUAUCUUUCUUUCUGAUAUAAGCAAUAGCUAGACCAUGUAAAACUUUUCAUGCACUUAAUUUUUCUUUUUCAUUUCCUUCUAUUUUCUAUUCUUUAAAAUCAUGUUAUCUCCAGUAAUAGAUAUUUAAUUUAUUUCCUUUUCAUGAUAAGAAAGUUCUAUGUCUUCCCAACUUACUGGCCUUAUAACGAGUGGACCAUGCUCCUAUUACAAGUAUAGUAGUUAUUCUCAAAAGUUCCCAACACUUUUCCUUUAAAAAAGUUUUAGGGAUAAGUUCCAUUCAUCUGGCAGUAGAUCCAGUUGAUGCCCAUGUGGCAUUGAACUGCAAGAGCAAGGUAUUGCUGGCACCAUACCUUGCAACUUAAACCCAAAUAUCUUUUUUUUUUGACUUUACGGGAGAUCUUCAAAAGCUAUAUUGGCUCCGGAGCUAAAUCUUUCUAUGAGAUAUUUAUAUUUUCUUAGCAUCAGAGAACUUAUAAAAGGUUGGGUUUUUUCCCUUGCUCCAUGUGAUUAGAUUACUUUUCCCUAUGAGAGCUUUUUGUCGGUAUAUAAUGUUAUAGCAAAAAGUUUUUCAUUAUUGAACUAUAAAUAGAUUCUAAAAAACUAUAACUAGAAGGUGUUUAACCAAUGGAAUAUGACAAAGUAAAUUAUUAUUCUGAAGCAAGUGGAGAACCAGUAUAUGAAUCGCAUGGGCACAGAAGUCAUAGUCAAUUAGCAGUGAUAUGAUAUGCAUCAUCAUUUAGAACAUCCUGUUGAACCAAAAAUUUUGAGUAUAUUGUUGAUAGAAUUUAUUAGUUUAUUUCUGAAUCAGGUUAGCUUUGUAUUUUUAAGGUUGGUUUGAGGAUACCUGAGUCUGAAGUGUUUGGGCCUGUUCAUUUUGUGUUUCAAUUAUCAGAAAUGAGCUAAAAUCUGAGAAAUCUUGUUCUAAAUUUAAAAAGAAAAAAUACAAAAUACUAAUAGUAGGAUUCUUGCAGAAACUUGAAAAGAAUAGAAAAUAUUAAAACAGAUAUAAGACAUGUUUGGCUCUAAAAUCAUCAAUAUGUAUUUUAAAAUAGCAUAAAAGACUAAGAAGUAUUCUUUAAGCUGGUCAAAUCAUGGGAUGAAGUUUAUUGGUCAUAUUAAAUAGUAUAAUCUAGAUCAGCACGUUGACUUUUCCAUUACAUACUAAAAAUAGAGAAGCUCUGGUGGAAACUUGUAUAUCAAAGAAGUAAAAGCAGAAAUCAUUCAAUGUGUAAGAUGAAAAAUUGUGUAUAUUUAUUGUAUUUUCUAUAUCAUAAAUUGGGCACUGGGUGAAACCAGUCUCGCGUUGUUAGGACACCCACAAUUUGGAUUAUUCUUUUUUGUUGCCCAUAAAAAUGCAAAACAGGCCAAACCAGUAAAUACCUGUUUUAACUUCAUUUUUGGUCCAAUAGUUAUUGACAUUUGAUUUCUCAGAUGCAACAUUGUAUUUUGCACUAAUUGCAAGUUUUGAUUCCCUUGUACUUAUUUGGUGCAUGUGUUAUUCUCGUAGUAGUUUAUAUUUGAUGGACUUUUACGUCAAAGAAAAGGACUGACUGGUUGUUUCUUGACAGUCAUUCCCAUAGUUUCCUUCAAUCCUAGAGCUCAGUCAUCAAGACAUGCUGCUUUAAAGGCAAGGAUAGAUUCCAUCUUUCGGUGGAAGAAAUGGAAGUUGUCAAAUAAAUCAUCAUUGCUAUGAAUAGAUAUCUCGCGUGAGGAAAUAUGGAAUUAUAAUCAACAUUCCAUCUAUGGUAAGUCUUUUUCUUUUCAAAAAAGGCUUAUGCUAACCAUUUUACUGGAAAAUACUAGGUUUUAGUUAGAGGUGCACUAGGAGAAUUAUGUGGCACAUUUAAGGAGACAUAGGGAUGCAUAUGCAGUUCGCAUUUUUAAUAUUUAAAAAUAAAUAAAUAUAUAAAGAUUCAAAUAGGAACAUCAAGAGUAGUAACAUUAAUAACUAUAACUUUGCAAUCUGAAAUGUUAAUGAUUCCCCGUGCCUCCCUUGCACUUGACCUCUCUCUCUCUCUCUCUCUCUCUGUCCCCUCUCUUUAUUUGGACACCUGCAGCCCAGCUAAGACUCAUAUGUCAGCUGCUUUGAACCGUUGUAGCUCCUGGCAGCGGGCUGCUAUGGCAUCUGAGAAAAGUAUAGAUUUGCCGCUAAAUAAAAAAAUUGAAUGGUAUAAAUGGAACUGCUAUUGACUUGAAAAUCUUGCUGAGAACUUUCCAAAAACUGUUUCUCUAGAGAUGCUUUGAUUCUACUAUAUUUUAUGAGUCCAACAGCCAAUAGUCAUGCUAUGCUGAUUAUUUCCAUGGGUCUAUGAUCUUGAUGAUCUGAUUGUGUGAAAGAUCGUUUCCUUGGAUUUGGGCUGAGAAUCGAUCUUCUUGUCGAUAUUACCAUUUUCUCUUGGAUACCUGGUGUUGGCAGAUCUAAUUACUAUGGGUCCACAGCUUCAGAAGAAACUACUUGAUCGACUAUUUUUGUUCUUACUAUCCUGCUUCCAGUUUCAGCUGAUGUUUUUGGUUGUAGUUUUCUAAGGCCUUGAUCCCUUUUUUUAACCAAAAGGGGCAAAAAGAUUUUCUUUGAUUAACUAAUUGACUUUCUAAUUUCGAAGUAAUGGAUGUUCGCUUUAAUUCUAUUUUGUAAGUAACCUAUUGUUAUACCCAUAGUUUCCUAAAAUUGUAUCAAGUAGCUCUAGCUUUAUCUCUGGACUGUUUUGGACAUGUUUUCAGACCUUCCUGAAUAAUAAUCAACUUAUGGCUACUGUACAUUUAUCAAUUUCACUCCAUACUAAUGUGACAAGAUUUUUGCAUUGUUUACUUUUAAAAUGAUUUUUAUUGAAAGCUGAAUGGAAAUGUAAAGCUGAAUGGAACUGUGCAAAUUGCCUUGUUUCACAAUUGAUGUUUCUCAUGUGGACUUGCAGUGCAUAUCUCAUGUGUUGUUCAAAUGCCUGCAUUGACAAUGAAGAAUAAAUUAAGCAGCGAAUGUGUAAGACGACAUGGUCUCCAUGUAUGCCGCAAUUCAACUAAAAUAUCAAAAGAUUCAUGCUCUCAAGUUAAAUCAUUGGAACAGGCAGCUGUAUUGGACACUUGUAUUCAAAAUCAUCAGGAUGGUAAGUGACGAUAUGUUUAGUCUUCUAGCAAGAGAAAAACAAAGCAUAACCAAUCCCAUUUCAUUGACUCAACUAUGCCUCGCAAUUUUUUGACAUUAGAGCUUAAAUUUGCACUCUAUGCAUGCCUUUUUGAAAUCUUUUUUUCCGAACAUUUUUCCUAGAUUUUUGUAGGUUUUUUUACCCUUCAUUUAUUUGACCUAUGAAGAAGGAUGUUAGCAUUUCUUAAUAUUCUUCUUAUUUUUUAGCUGAUUUUGCUCAUUUUCCUUCUUUUCGAUGCCCAUAAGAAUGGAAAAACAUAACUAGUAUUCCAUUAAUCAUAUCUUUAUUGCCCUAGUUUUGAAAUUUAUUCUCAUAAAUCUCUGUUACAAGAUUAUUUAUUAUCACAUGAAUCUCUAGGUUUCUUCUAAACAUAACUAAUAUUCCAUUAAGCAUAUCUCUAUGCCCUAGUUUUGAAAUUUAUUCUCAUAAAUUCCUGUUACAGGAUUAUUUCACUAUCACAUGAGACUCUAUGUUUCUAUUGGCAAAAAACUUUUUGAGGUGUUAAACCUUCAUAUAGUACACUUUUAUGUUAUUCAGAGACCUUUUUGCCAUCCCCCUUUGGUUAACUCUUAACAGCUCUGUUGGCUGAAAUCUUCCAAGUGCAGGUUCUUCAAAUAUUGACAUAUCUGGACAGAACAUUGUGAUCACAGAAGCUAAAGAUUUCCAGAACAUAUUGGAUGAAGCCUCUACCCAUAUUCUGAAGGUGUCAUCAUUAUCUGCUCCUUUGUCAAUUGGACAAUUGGUAAAUUAUGUGCCUUGUUGGUGGUGCUCUUACAUACCAUACUGUUUACUCGAUAUAAGGUUAUGUACAAUAUUAUAUUACUUAUUUUUUCAUUUUUGUUUAAACCCACAUUGUUCUGCUUGUAUUCCAACCUCCCCCCUGGCCUCCUCACUGCAGUCACCAUGAUUAACAACUUGGUUCUGGCAACUGAUUUGGUGAAGUGCUACCGCAUAAUUAAUUAAAGUGCAACCACAUAAUUAAUUAAAACCAUUUGAAGUUUCAAAAGACAAUUUAUUCAUGCAUAUGCAUAAAGUAUAUAUGCUUAUGUAUUGUUUACACUUUUUAGUUGCUGUAUUGAUGUUAAUUUAGUGGCUUUAUUGAUGGGAUCCUACAGUUGUUAGGCCUUGGCACUAGUCGGACUCUAAGUCUUAGAAAGUGAUUGAGUCGCUUGUUGCUUUUUUAUUUAUCUCCUGAAAUGAUCAUUUGAUGCUAUUGGCAUGGUAACAAAGAAAGUGAUUCAGAGGAGGAAGAAAGAGGGAGAGAAAAGUGAGAAGAAAACUAGGCACCCAUAUGGUCAUAAGUUGAUCAAUUAGGUAGGUGAAAUUGAUCUGUAUGAGAGGUAUUUUACUUGAAAUACAAUACGUGACACAAUAGGACUGGGUAUAAUUAUCAAAGCACAGAGUAUAUGAUGUCAGGUGACUUAGGAAGCUUCUUUUAGUGUUGUAGCUUAGGUUUCAAGAAUAUUGGAUUUCUAGAGAUUUUCUUUGAGUGGCUCGAUCCAUUUUCCUAGUCUUUUUAAAUUUACUAUGCUUGUCCCUAAGCUGGAGUUAAAAGACAUGCUCGAGGUACUUGAGUAUAUGUCGAUAAUUAGGUACAAAAGAAGGGUGUAAUUGGCCUAUAUCAGAGAGAUUUCAUUUUGGAUAUCAUAUUUGGUGAUACAUUUUCAGAUCUAAUUAUGAAAAUAUGAGUUUUUGGAAUCAGGUGACUUGGAUGGAUUCUUCUUGAUUUUAUAGCUUGGGUGUUAGUAACACUAGGAUUUCUUGUGAUUUUCAUUUGGUGGAUCAGUCCAUUUAGAUAAUUCUUUCUUUUCCAAUGAAUGUUUUCCCAUAUAUGUUUUUGAUGGUUAUAUAAGAUACAAAAUAGAUGUAUAUAGGGUUGAUUCAUGGCAAGGUUUUAAAUCCCACAAGACAGGUUGUCUUGCUUUCUCCAUGUAACAGGAUGCCCGUCUAUCUUGCCUUGUCCCAACAGCCAUCUGGUAGGUAACCUCCGUCUUUCCCCAUCUUCUUUCUUUUUUUUUCUUUUUUAUUUUUUAUUUUUUCCUUCUCUCUUUUCUUUAUUCCUUCUUUCCUUCAUUCCGUACCAUUUUCUUCUUUCUUUCCUUUCUUCCUUCUAUCCUUCCUUUCUUUUUCUUCUCCCUUCCUUUCUUUCUUUCCUUUUACUUCUUCUUUCCUUUCAUUUUUCCCCUUUUCUUCUUCUUUCAUCCUUUCUUUCUUUCUUUCUUUCUUUCCUCUUUUCUUCGUUCGCUAUCAGCGACAUGCCCAUGUAACAUGGAAACUAUUUUCUCUCAUAAUCUUGAGGACAAUGAUGCUCAGUUAAAACUGAUGAAUCAUAGUGAUNNNNNNNNNNNNNNNNNNNNUCUUCUUCUUCUUCUUCUUCUUCUUCUUCUUCUUCUUCUUCUUCUUUCUUUUCCUUCUUCUUCUUCUCUUCUUUCUUCUUCUUUCUUUCUUUCCUCUUUCUUCUUUCUCCUCAUGGAUAGGUUUUGGAGCCCGACCCGUUGUCCCUGUCCCGUUUUCUCACAAGAAUGAGACGGGAUGGCCAGGAUCCCCCCAUCCCGUGAGGACUUUAAACCUUGAUUUACGGUUUCUAAUUGCUGAGGAGACAUAAAGUUAAAGGAGUGGGGAUUCGUUGAUAUUAUGGAGACAUGAAAAAUCUUGGAUUAAGGGUUUUUGAAGAACAAUUAUUGCAUAUAAUCUGUUAAAUUUUUUAAAAACUUUAAACAAACAUUAGAGGAGGAAUGAAGAAGAGAACAAGGGGAAAAGAAACUCAGAAAAAGGAGAUGGAUUUGGGAAAAAUCACAAUUGGGCAAGUUUUAAGAAAGUGUGCUUAAAGAGUGUCAUGGAAUAAAUAACAUGCAUAAAGGAGUAGUAUGAGGAGUUUCAAGCAUGUGCCAUGACAUAAGUGAGUUUGCUAUAAUGGUAGGCCAACACCAAGGGCUUCUCUUUAGCCUAUAUGUCUAUACUUUUUUCAUAUGUGAACUUAGUUGCAAAUUGAAGUUGGAACUAUGGAGAAAAUCUUUGGAGAUAAGGGUCUAAAGAGUGAUCAUUUUCCACUAUCUUGGAUCUGUUUUAUAAUAUGUAGGCUAAUAUGAAAACUUUUAAAUGGAAUCGGAAGUGGGGUUAAAAAAUUGGAGAUGUGCUUUGGAAGGUGUUUUAAUCACAUUUUCUUUCAGACAUAGAGGGAGAUAUUAAAAUACAACAACAAGGCCUAAGAUAUUGUAUGGAUCAAACUAUCAGGCAAUAGAGAGUCCAACACAUUUGAUGAGUAUGGUGGAGAUAAGAGUGCUAAGUUGGAUGUGUGUUAAGAAAGCUUAGAAUUAGAAACAAACACAUUAGAGGAAUUUUAGGAAUUGCAUCAAUUUGAGAAAUUUGUUGCGCAAAGUCAACUAGAUUGUAUGGGAAUUUGUAAUGAAGAAGUGAAGCCCUAUUAUGAAGAGCAGCUCCUUUUUUUAAGUGCAGUGGCAAGACAAGAUAGAGGUUGAUGCCUUUGGCUGAUGGUGAUGGUAACUGGGCCAGGUUGGAUCCGAAUAACAUGAAAAAUGGUGAGAUAGGAUUUGGAAAAAAUGCUAGUUAUAAUGUGCAGCUCUUGUGGGAAUGAACGACGAAAGAUACAUAAAGUUAACACAAUAGUUGAGAUAAAUCUUGUUGAUCAAAAUUAUGAUUAGAUUACGAUCAUGUUGUGGCCUAUGAGUGUAUUUGCCUUUAAAAAAUCUUUUAUCUGCCUGGUGUUUGGUCUGCUUAGAACUAAUAUUUUUGCAUAAUUCUUUAUACAAUUCAUUCAGUAGGCUGUCUUUAGCUAGCCUUAUAUUUGCGGACUGUCAAAUGAAUGUUUUUUCUAAAUAUUGUGCAAUUUUAUGGCCAUGAUUAAUUGUGGGCAUAGAUUACACAAUUUGGAGAGGAGGUAAGGAAUAAGGCUUUUCUUGAGCACUUCGAUAUUAUAUAGGUCUCAGUUUAGUAACUCAUUAUCAUAACUACCAUGGCCAAAUAAAAUAUGAGAUUUGUGGCAAUUGAAUGAUGCAAUCAUUGAAAGUUUCAAGGUGCACUAAAGUUCUUCUUUUUUUUUCUUUCUUUUUCUUCAUUUCAGUUGAUGGAUGGGUUUGGCCAGUUUACAUUUGGAGUUAAUUAACCCAUUUAUUGUGCUGAGUAAGUAAUUUCUAGAUAACAACUUAAGCUAGUCAUAUUUUAAUUUUCACUUUUUAAUCAAUCAGCCAAUGUAAGAGGUAUAUUGACGCAAAACCAGAUCAUAGAAAUUGGCUUUUAGAAAAAUACGGUCUCAUGUGAAUUCCGAUUAUAUUUGGAAAAUCAUCUAGCAAGUCACGUCUAUAUCAAGGAAGGAUUCUUAAUGUGAGUCAAAAAGGUUGGUUUGCUUAGUUUGAAUACUGGAAGGAUGGGAGCUGUGAUUUGAACAGCCAUCAUAUGUUGGGAUAUAUUGUGCCCAUCAUUUUGCUUCUCUUCUUUCACAUCAUGUUAGAUAUAAAACCUCUCCUUAUCACUUUUUUAGUUGGUGAUUCCUAAAGAAACUGGUGGUGCUCUGUAAGAUGUCUAUCAUAGUUACACAAAGAGACCUCGGUCAAUUCUGAGCUUCAGCAGUAAUCCACUAAUAGAAAUUGAGGUUGUACACUGGCUUCUUGGUAUCCAAUUAACAGUCCCACAUUAUUUUGAAUAUUUCUAUGUUUAUUUGUUGAUUGGCCCAUCUACAUCUCUGUCAAACAAUACCUAGAUCAUCUUUAACAUUAAAUCGUGGGCAAAGCCAUAUAACAACAUUCAUUUUGGUAUCAUUAUGGAUUUGUUACAUUAAACUGAUCAUUCAAACUCCUGAGUGUAAAAGAAAGUCUCCAUAUCUUACUGAAGACCAUGACCUUAAUCUGUCUUUAAAUUCCUUCAGUUCGUACUUACAAGAUUUAUGAGAAUUCUGCUUUAUUAGGAUAUUUCAUCUCAUUUAGUAUACCUUGCAACAUCCCGUUAAGUUCAAUAACUUUCACUGUUGCUCAUCAAAGCAAUAACUGUAGAAUGAGGAUUUGUCAAAGAUCAUUAGAAAAAUUGAUGGGGACAUUGGUCAUUAUAGUGAGCAUAAUUGCUUCGGCAUUUGGUGAAUUUGUACUUUCUACUAUGAUUCAUAAUUACUAUAUAUUGGUUUAACAGAGUCGUUAUCGUUACUUAUGCAUUGAGUAUUUGUUUAAUGUUCUUUAGACUUGGCAAGUUAUACUUUAUGUGGUUUUUUGUAUUAAAUAUGCCGUUACAAUGUGCAGGGUUCGCUAUCAGCGACAUGCCCAUGUAACAUGGAAACUAUUUUCUCUCAUAAUCUUGAGGACAAUGAUGCUCAGUUAAAACUGAUGAAUCAUAGUGAUGCAGGUACCCCAGGCAUCUCAAAAUUUUUGAUGGAAUAGUAUGCAAGUCAAGCAAUUUGCUUUACUCAGUAUAAAACCUCAGGGUGCUUUCAUUUGAUUUAUUCUGCAUAAUAUUUGCAAGUUGGUUCUGUUUCAGAAUUGUAUUAUUCUCCUCCUUAAUCAUGAUAAUGAUUAAAGAAGACAUUCCAUGCUUAAUGUUUUAAAGUCAUGCGUGUCAGAGAGACAGGCAAUAUGGAAAUGCAUAGUGUCUAUUGGGAAACUAGCCAAGGUUUGCAACUAUUUAUUGGACAGAAAAAUUUAACCCUCAAAAAUUUGGAAGCAACAGGCAGCUGCAAAAAGUCGAGAGGAAGUAACUUGGAAUGCCAGGAUAAUAUAUUUCUUUUAAUUGCUCUUAUAUUAUUAGGAGAAAGUUUCUCAAAAUACAACAAAACUUCCUUUUAUAUCUCAAGAAAGUUAGAGUGAAGCGUACGCUAGUUGCUAUUGUGGGAUCAAAUGAAUUUUAAUUUAAUAUUUAUUUUUCAUUUUUUUUCUUUCUUUGGACAUAAUUCUGACCUAACAAUUUAGGCCCACUGUUGAGAUUUAGGAGUCCUUUAUAGUUGAAAAUGAUUUAAGGUUGUGACGAUGGGAUGCAACUUCUGAUUAUAUGUUGUGCAUCAUUAAAUAGACUCAUUUUGACCAAAGCUAUAUGGGCCUGAAGGCGUGAUGGUGGGAUAACAGGUGAAAAUGCCUUCUUGUUUUAGUCAUAAGUUAGUUUAAGGGAUCGGCAUACUUAAUUAAAAUUGAUUGUUUGGAUUAAAUCUUGGUUCCUUAUGGUUUAAGUCAAUGCAAUCUAUAUGUAAAGGUCGUAAGGCCAUUCCCGAUAUUUAAAGUUUUUGAUGAAAUUAAUAAAUAUUUGGGUUCUUUUUCUCUCACCAUUUUCUAAUUCUUUUGUUCUCUUUCCUUGUUCCGAGGCUUGAGGAUUUCGAGCAUCCAAAGCAACAAUUUUUUUUGACUUGGAAUGUGAUUUAUUCUCAUGCAUUUUCUGCAUGAAAUAUGAAAAUGCAUCAUAUUUAAAAGAAAGGAUCAUAGAUCUGAACGGAAUCACAUAUUCAAUCACCUCAAUCUUUUCUGCAUUUGGCUAAUAGAUGGUUUGAAUAUGUGCUGGAAAACAUAAAAUAUUGUUAGUGUUCAACAGGAUUUGAAAAACACAACAUCGAAAAAAAGAAAAACAUGUAAGAAUCACAAAAGAAAAGAAGCAGAAAAGCGAUUUUGCAAUAGUGUCUGCAUGAGUGCUUCCUCAAGAUUUGCUAGAGGAGCAUCAAGUUUUCUGAGACAAAUGCUUAAGGGAGUGCCAAGGACAUGCAGCAGCUCUCAGCACUUGGGCGUUUAGGUGUUCACGGCAUCCUAAAGCUUGGGCCUUUAUGGAUACUGGAGGUCUUUUAAGGCUUGUAUUUUUCAUGUGAAAGUCCUAAAAAGUUUCAGUUGAACCUCAUCGAUUAAAGAGAUAACCAAACUAUCAUAAAUUAGUUAUGAGUUGUGCUGCAAGGUUCGUGAUCUUGGUAUUGGACCCUGUACCAGUACCAUGCUAAUAGAGUGUUGGUACACUCAAUACGUGGUUUGAUUCGGCGUAGCCAUAUCGAGUCUCAAUUUGGUACUAUUAUAGUGCGAUACACCCGAUACAGAGCAGUACGCACCAGUACGCCAACCUUGUCUGUCUAUGCAUCUGUAUGGGUAGUACUUUAGUAGUGUAAAACUAGCAAUAAUAUUUAGUGUUCUUUUUUUGCUGGGAAUUAUUUAUUAAUGCUAGCACUUAUAUUUGCAUAAUGUUAUAUCUGGUUUAGUGUCAUUAUAUGCAUUAGACUUUAUAAUAGUUCUAACAUUACCAUCAGUAUGUCAUAUGCUCUAUUAUCCAUUUCAGUACUGGAAUUUGUGUUACAAAUCUGGUGUCUAUAAUGAUGCAAGUCCUAUUUAAGUACAAGAUGUAAUAGUAAUUAUGUUAUUACCACUAUCUCGAUAGAUAAAAACCUUACCAAACUUGAUCUUCAUCCUCGUAUGAGAAAAUCUUAAGGCCAGAGAAAAGGACAAGGAGACGACCAAGGGUACAAAAGAAGUCGAGAAAAGGGUUGUUCAGUCUUUCUUGCUGGUUGGACACCAUACCUUCAAUUAUAGGACUCAAUGAUUGGUAACAGACCAAAAUGUUUUCUAAUGUUGCCAGCGGUCGUGUUGGUAGAAACUCAGCCAUGGGUCUGAAACACUUUGAAACAUGACCUGACUGCUUUUGACUCAAUUCAGGCAACAUAGCCAUCCACUUAAGUUAACUGAACACAAUAUCAUCAUAAAAUCAAUACUAGCACCAUGGUAUGAGAUACCAUCUGUAUUUGUAACAUAAAAGUUUUUCUAAUUGGAAUUACAACCAAGCGCAUAACAAGAUUAGCAUACUGUAGUCCAACACUAAGAUUAAUUAUGGUACUACAGUACCAGUUCAACAUCAAGAUUUGUCUUUAGAUCAAUAGGAUCGAGUAUCAUUUACAUCUGUACCAAUGAAUAUAGGCAGUUGUCAUCCUGCCAAGCUAUAGCCUGCAGCACAGUCACAGAUUAUAGUGCUGUAGAUGUUGAUGUCAGUAUCUAGCUUCGAAAUUUAUACAGAAGCUUCAUUCUUCUCUGUAUUCAAGUCCAGAGGGAUUGCUUCUUGAUCAUCUAUUGAGGGAGUUGUCAGGUAAAAUUUUCACAGGUCACCAUUGAUUGCUCUGGUGCUACCUAAGAGCACCAAGUACUGGGUAUUGUGUACCAUAUUGAAGGAGACCAGCCCAAACUGUAUGCAACUUCUUUGUGGACGACUGCCAACUGUGCAAGAUAUUAUACAACAGAAAAGAUUGCUCUGGCACUUUGGUGAAAUCCUAUGCAUUGACAAUAUACAUGACUAAAUACAUAAGAAAGGAGCUUGAGCAAAACCUAUGCAAUAAAAUUAUAAACUGCUAAAUAAAUAAGAAGAGAAUGCAGGAUGAUUGAGAAGCAAAGAAUGGAGAGAUAGAGAGUGAUGUUUGGAGGAUAAAAAAGGGCAUCCUAGUGCACUAGGCCCUUGCCACCGUGCGGUCUAGGGAGCGUUAGAUGGGCGCAGCCUUACUCUCACUUGCAGAGAAGCUGUUUUUGCGUUUCGAACUCGCGACACCCAAAUUACAAUGGAGCAAUUUUACCAUUGCACCAAGGCCUGUCCUCUAUAUAAUUUAUAGACGGCUAUAUAGAUUGUUGUCCGAUAUGACUGUUUAAAGCUCCUUGUAGCUUGGUGUAUAGAUUAUACUCGCCGUUUUUUCUUAGCUUGUCCUUGAUAUACUUGGAUUCAAGCAUCCAUUUGUUGUUGUACAUGCAAUGGCAGCUUGGUAAAUUUGUACAUAUAAAACAUUAUAUCUCAUUAUUUUGCGGGUUAUUUUGUGACCAAAUUUACUCUUUUCGCAGUUAAAGAUGAGAAUUCUGAAUUGCCUCAUCUUGUUGCUGAUGAGAGUGAUGAUGGAAGUUGUAGUUCAAGUGAUUCUCAAACUUGCAGUGUAUUGAAUUUCUAUAGCUCUGAGAGUUUUCCUGCUUUACCCUUUGAUACUGAUAUGGGAUUUACAUAUGUCAUAAAUGCUGCUUGUUCUAGUCACGAGCUUACAAAUUCUGACAUAAUGAUUGAUAUGGCGGAGAGAUACAUGAUACUGCCUUUCCUAGAGAAAACAGCAGAAACCAGCAACAUUCAUGUUGAGGAGUCCGAAGAAACAAUGAUGAAUUCUGAUGAUGCAUGCUUGUAUCUAGCAAUUCACCAAAUGAAAUCAUCCGAUCAGGAAACUGAGAUAACUUGUUGUGGUGAUUUGGAUAAAAUUGAGUGCUUUGAUCCACAGUUGGCAUUUAGUAGUUUAGCUGAUUUGCCUGAAGCACUUUCACCUGUUUGUCCUAUCUUGCUUCCAAAGGAAUUGCAGAAAACGAAGCCUAUUACCCUUGUACUUGAUUUGGACGGUAAGCUGAGUUGAAAAUUUGUAUUCAUUGUCAUAGAAAAUUUCCUAGUUUGUAGUAUUUUAAAGAUGCUGCUUCUUUGAUUGUUCUUAAUUUUAAUUGGAAACUAUUUUAAAGUGCAUCAAGCUGUGUUACGUGGUCCAUGUAUGCCAUCUUUUUUUUACAGAGUAACUAAGAAAGCAUUUUUCUGUCUCCGAUGCAGAAACUCUUGUCCAUUCUACCUUGGAGCAUUGUGAUGAUGCUGACUUUACCUUUCCAGUCUUCCUUAACAUGAAACAACAUACCGUAUAUGUUAGAUGUAGGCCUCACCUGCAGCUGUUUCUGGAGAGGGUAGCUCAGAUAUUUGAGAUUGUCAUUUUCACAGCCAGUCAAAGUAUCUAUGCAGAACAGCUAUUGGAUAUACUGGAUCCAGAGAAAAAGUUGAUUUCACAGCGUAUUUAUCGUGAAUCAUGCAUAUUUUCUGAUGGCAGCUAUACAAAGGACCUGACUGUUUUAGGAGUUGAUUUGGCAAAAGUUGCCAUAAUCGACAAUUCUCCACAGGUAGUAUUGCCCCUCUGUAUCUGCAAGUUUGUGAGGGUUCAGCUAGAGUACUCAUCUACUACUAAAUAAAAUUUCUCAUUAAAAGUUUAUUUACUUUGCUGCUAAUCAAUGAACUAUUGUUACAUUUUCCUCCAUAAGUUGCCAGUAUGUUUCACAUGGAGAGCCUUUUUGGUUGCGUUGCCAAUUUUCUGUUUUUGUUUUGUUUCAGGUUUUCUAGAAACAGGUAACAUUUUGGUCAUCAAAAUCAUAUAGUCAUAUUUCAAUGGGAUUUUCUCUUUAGUUUCCAAUGGGGUAAAAAUUUUUGACUAUCUGAAUUUUUUAAAAUUUAAGAAACCAUUUUUAAAGGCGAAGAAAUGAAAGCUGAGCAUAUUUUAUAUCAUGAUACUGUUUUUUCUGUUCUUAAACAAUAGAAAACAAUAAAUAGAUGAACCAUCAAGUGAGUCCAUCACUAUGAGAUUUCAAAUUACUUGGAUGACAGGUUGAGAGUUGGAAAAUUCUGCAUUUCUUGACUUUGGUAUUGAGAUUUAAUAGUUAAAAAUUUAUUCAGAAGAUUAUCAUUUGAAGAGCAUAAGCCAAAUUUAUCUUGCUUUCACGUGCACACAUAUUGUCUUCUGUCAUCAAAUAUUUUUAGUAUAAAAAUACUGUAAGUAAUAGAAACUAUGAGAUGAUUACUUAUUUAUUUCUCUAUCUUUCAUCCUUGAUUUCAGGUUUUCCAGUUGCAAGUAAAUAAUGGGAUACCUAUUAAGAGUUGGUUUCAUGAUCCGCAAGACCAUGCAUUGCUUCAAUUACUUCCCUUCCUUGAGAGCCUGGCAGAUGCAGAUGAUGUCCGUCCCAUUAUUGCAAAGAAAUUCAGAAAUAAGGAAUGAUGACAUUUGUUGGGGAAGCCGUAAGUUUGGUUUUUUUACUACUAUGACUUUCUACAAUAUCUCAUCCUUUUGAAGAACUGUUACAUUAUAUAUAUAUAUAUAUAUAUAUAUAUAUAUAUAUANNNNNNNNNNNNNNNNNNNNNNNNNNNNNNNNNNNNNNNNNNNNNNNNNNNNNNNNNNNNNNNNNNNNNNNNNNNNNAUCCAACCGGUUUCUGCUGACCAGUUUGCACUGGUAUGCGCGGGGAAGAAGGAAGAGGGAAGAAAGAAGAGGAAAAGAGAGAGGAGGAGGAGGAGGAGGAGAAGAAGGGAGGCCGGGCCUCGGGCUAACCGCCUUCUUCUUACCCCGAUGAGGAUCACCCCCCUCCCAAGAUCCGUUCGCCCCUCCUUGCUCGGGAGAAGAGAGGAGAAGAAAGGAGAAGAUUCGGGAAGAAGGAAGAAGAGAAAAAAAAGAAAAAAAAAAAAAGGGAAGACGUGGCCACGGCGGCGGGGGGGGGGGGAGGGUUGUUGCGCUCGCAGGGAAACGCGCCACGUGCGGGGAAACGAACAAGAAGGCGCCCGCGCACGGAAACACGAGCGGAAAGGCGCCCACGCGUGGGGAAACGUGGGGAAGGGAAGCAUCCCGUGCGUGCUGGGCAGUGCACCCUGCGUGAAACCAAAUCUCUCUCUCCCUCUCUCUCUCUCUCUCGUAUGUCAUGCUAUCUUAUGUUAUCCUGAUUUUCAUUGAAAAUAAAAUUAUUAAAAUUAAUAUGACAUUGAAAGUAUUCUAACAGAGUGGAAACCAUUAACGAUUACUAAUUUAUUGAUCUUGUUUUCUGAUCUCAGUUUUCCAGUUACAACUGAACAAUGGAUUACCUAUUAAGAGUAGGUUGGGUGAUCUUCAUACCAUGCACUGAUUUCAACCAUGGCCAGUGCAGGUGAUUUUCAUCCCAUUAUUGUGAAGAAACUCUGCAAUAAAAAGAAAAGGUGUUUGUUCAGACAACCAUGGGUUUAGUUCGUUGCCUCCUUUCACUUUCUACAGAAUCUCAUCCUUCAGGUAGCUUCCCUCAGAAUCAACACAUUUUUUCUCUCAUCUUUAUUCCCAUUUAUUUAUGGCAAUGACUCUUGUAACUCGCAGAUGGUUGCUGAUGGUUGUAUAUAUGGAUGAUGACAAAGCUAACUGCCUAGAGUCCUAUUCCUUUGAUCUUAUUUUGGUCACGUAGGUGUGUAUGAGAAUAAUGUUCUUGCAUUAUUGGGUGCUCGGUUGGCUGAUAAAUGGACGUCGUUAAUAAUUCAUCUAUUAAUAAAUCAUGACUUGGUUGUAUCAGUCCACAGUAAUGGACUUAAUUUUAUGCAUUUUACUGCCAAGAGUUGUAUAUAAGUUGACUGGUGGUGCGCUCCUCCAGAGAAAAGGCAAAAAAGGUUGACUGCUGCCACUGUUCUAUAUUUCAUAUGAUGACCAUAAGAUGGGUGGUACAAACAAUGGAAUACCAAUAUUGAAGAGGGGCUGCUUGUAAGUAAAGGAGUAUAAGGAGGGCUCCACAUACCUCACACCUACACAAUCCGGGACCUAAAGUUCGGUUUCUGGUACAAUCACCGGGAGACUUUCCCCGAAAAAUUGGCUGGCAUCAUUAAAGAUAUUUGUUGCUUGGAGGUUUAAAUGUCAUUAUAAUCAACAAUUUUACUUGUGGCGUCCAGGCUGUGUCUGUGCUUUUAAAUGGCUAAAUGCACAAGUAAUUGUAGAUCAUGUUAAUUAUAUGAUAUAAGAUUGAUGACUAUCUGAAUAAUCUGAUUAUGUUGGUGUAUGUCAUGGAGUUAUAUGGGUGUAGUUUGAUAGUAGUCAAGUCUCGUAAACAGGUAAGGAGAAAACUCAUGAAAUUACCUCCUCUGUUGCUGACAAAUUCCUAAUCAAGGGCCUCUUCUAAGAAUCAUCAAAGGUGAUUAACAAGAUAUGUGGCCUUUUCAUAAUCUUUUAGAUCCUCGGGAAUUUCUAUGCUUGAAAUUGCCUACAUGGCUAGAGGAAAAAAAACUAUUCUUUGCGAUUGUGGCCAUGAAGCCAUCCUCUGAAGCCUUUGUCCAUAAUAUUUAUUUAUUAAUAAAUCAUAGAAAUUCACUAAUAUCUUCUCUUGGAACUACCGUAGGAGGUAGAGGUGGUGAUGGCUUUGAUGCAAGGCAGAGCCUAUUUAAAAUGAUUCUUCUAUGCUCAAGCUUGGGCUACGAUCAUAUCUAGUGCAUGUUAGCUGCUUUUGGUUGGAAGGACUUCUUGUUACCAUGGCUCGAACCCUCAACCUCAUGAACAUAUACAAACUCACAUGCCAUCAAGGUGGAGGGGCCUUGGUGUUGGAAGGACUUCGUGGAGGAAGACUGGAGAGGAUGGAAAGGCAAGGUGGAGGAAGGAAAGGAGAACGAGGAGAGUGCACUCCAUCUCCAUGGGGGCAAUUACUCGAGAAAUGAUGUGAUGUGAUGACGGGAACACGUGAGAAGUGUUAUUUGUUUACUUCUUUAUUAAUUAUUUGUUUGAUAUUAUUUAUUAGUUAGCCUUUAUGGAUAUAAAGUCAAAACAGGCUGAGCUAGGCAGGAGAGCUCAACAAUAUGUGUUCCAGUCGGGCUUAUUAUCAUUUAAGUCGAAGUUUACAUCAAAUAGAGUUAAUUUUCUGUUAAUUUUCAUAGACCAAAAGUGUUCAAACUCGGUUUCUUUAAAUCAAAUUUUAGAAAAAGUAACGAUGCUCUUUUUCUUACCAAAAAAAAGAGAAGAUGAAUCAGGGCUGUUCAUGAACUGGUCCAUAAACUAUUUUUUUUCUAUGAGCUGAGUUUAGAUGUCAGGUUUAGCCGCAAACAAUAUUUUAAAAACCCUAUCUUACUAUCCACACCAAUAUAAUGGUGUCAUGUUGAGCACGGAAUCCUUUAUAAGUUCCAAUCUCGUUCUUCUUUCAUCCAGUUACAAAAAUUUUUCAUUUCUUUUAAAUCAUAAAAUUAUUUUUAAAAUAAAAAAUAAAAACGAAAGAAUUAAAUAUCUAUUUUAUAGCAGAUUUUUUACUUUUACUUUUACAAAUAACAAAAGAGAAAAAUAACAUGGAAUAAAAUUGAGUCCUUUUUUUUUAUUAACAAACAGUAAACUAUUAUUUUUUUGUAGAAAAAAAUAUUUAAAUACGUCCUCAACUUAGGAUCAAUUUUAUUUAAUAUCUCUCGAGUCUACAAAAUUUUAAAAUAAUCUUUUAAAUUAGUUAAAUAGUUUAAUAUGAUUCAGCUAUUUCAUUUCCUUACCUUUAUGUAAUGGCCCAGAUAUCAUAACAAUAAUCCUGGAUACUAAUAAUAGCUCAUCUUCAUUUAUUUUUUUCAGACGCACAGCACAAGGCAUAACAAGUGCGACAUCCGUGAGGAACUGCUUAUACCAAACUAAUGAUUCAGGCGACUUAAUCAUGAUAUAGCCUGUGCAAUCAAAUCCAACCCAAUUUUCGAAUGAAAACCAUUGAUAAUGGGUGUCGGCAUAUCAUGUGCAGUAUCAGUAUCAUCAAUAAAGCCAAUAUCAUUAUCCUCUUAAAAACAUAUUCAAAAUCCAAAAAGCUUGGUCAGAGUAAAGCUCUAGAAUUUUGGAAUACUUGGAAAUAUGUGAUGGACCAGAAAGGUACCGCAUUGGCAGUUCUAAUAAAGUGAAAAUUGAGCACCAAAAUUCUCGCCAUGGAUGUGAUUCACCGGUUUACAGUGUGGGGGCUUUCCUAACAUAUAAAAUUAAAGAAAACCCCACUUCCUUUUGCAAGUCUCCUGUGAGUUAUUUCCCCGCAAGUUGAUAGUUUCGCUGAGACCGCCCUCACAUGACUGGCGAAACAGCGGUCCCAAGAUUAUAGAGGGCAUGGAAGGCCAAGAAACAGCAGGGCAUGCCCAUUUCCACUAACAAUCGCCACUUCAUGUAAUUUUUUUUUCUUCUUUUCCUUGGCUAUUUUUUCCCCUUCUUUCCACUUGGAGCAUGUACAUACAUUAUCCGUUGGAACGGAGCGGGCACAAUGAUUGUGGCAUACUGAUAGAGUGCCUAAUACAUCCUUGAAAAUCCAAAUUGAACGGCCCCGAUCUUCCUGUGGGCACCAGCAGCUGCUGCUGCUGCUGCUGCUGCUGCAGAAAUUCCAUAGGGGGAUCUUGCCUGCAGCAAGUUUGACUCCAUUGUGAUCCUGUCAGCUGGAUCAGCCUUCCUCCCUCCUGAAAGAAAGAAGGGCGAAGCCCUCAUAUCAAGAGCUACGUCUGGGGCCAUCUUGGUAGGUAUGAACUGCUGGGGUUGUCUGUGCUGUACAUACUCCCUCUCCACCUCUGCUGCGACUCUGUCAGAGCUCUCCGACUUGCCCGUGGUCCUGUGGAAACAGUAAACUGGAGGAAUGACAGGCUGCGGUGGAAGCGCAGGAUUCCUUAUCAGCCUUCUUGGAUCAUAGGAGUCCUUGAGACCUUCAUUCUCAUAUGGCAUUACUGAGCCAACAAGCUUUCCCGGCUUCGCUGAACAGAGGGAAAAAAAAGGGGGUAUUAUCAGUGCAGCACUAGGAUGAUAGCUGCUUCUUGCUAUGGUUAUUUUGUACUGAAGCACGUACUAGCUGGAAUCCUUUGAGGUGCCUGCCAAGCCCUUGACAUAUUUCCCGACAACCUUUCUGUUUCUCGAUAAUUCUUACGUGCCUCAUCUGAGGGUUGCCGGUCUCUGUAUAGAGCCAUAUUAGGCCGUUCCUUGGGAGGAAAUGGAGUAGAGUAGACAACUGUAGACCUGAAAGAUACAAGAAAAAAAAUAACAAGGAUUGCAAAAAAAUAAAUAAAUAUUGAUGGAAAAGGGAAUACAUAUAUGGAAAGACUUAAAUCAAUCAACCACAGAAAUACAACUGGAUAUUACAAAUCCACAAGCAUUCCAACAGAAACCUCAUGAUGGAAAGUGUGCAACUAUGCAAGCAGCCGACAUUUAAGCAGAACAAGAAUGAAUGGAACAUAAACCAUUAAAAUAAACUAACCAGAGCCUUAGAGCCUUAGAAAAGACAACUGAGCUAUCCUGUUAUAUUACAAUCAAAAAAAUAAUGCUUCAGAUAACUUGUUAUCACGUAUCAACCAACCAUUUUCUAUGAGACUUCCAACUCACAGUACUUCAAAAAGUACACACGAUUUUGGUACUUCCUAUAUAUAGUUCCUACAAUUCCUAUCAGCGCCCUCCUAGAUCAAGUAUGGCUUGGGAUAGGGACAAACAGCUAUAUAUUAGGCCCUAGUAUCAGAAUAAAAAAUAUUGUCCAAGUUCCUGAUUCAAGAUAUCCUAUUCUUUUUCUUAUGCAUAACCCAUAUUCAUAUUUAUGCCUCCUGUCAUGGCUCAGAUCAGCAGGCAUGUAAAUCAUCAGGGAAGGGAAUAUAAUUACCAAAACACCAUAUAUUCAGAAAGUAAGACACAAUCAACCACCACUGUAAUAAUAGAAAUUCACCAAUAACUUGCCACCAGAACAAGAUUACUCUCCAUAGGUGUAGGUUACAGCAUUCAACACAAUCUGCAAGUUCCCAUGCAGCACAAUCAUUGAUAUUAUAUAUUCCUAGAAACCCUUCAUUACCAAUCAUGCAAUGAUAUCACAAAUAUACUGAGCACAGGUGUGCUGUCAUUCCUCAGGAUGCCUAAUCAUUGAGACCAAAAUCAAAAAACCUAUGCAAUAUGCAACUGCAACUAUGUGCCUGACACAAAUGAUAUCUUACAUACACCUUAUCCACUUAACACAAGCACAAGACAAAAAUCAUGAGAUGCCAUCAUCUUCAUGAUAGCUAAAUGCUACAUGUGUAGGAAUGUGGGGAAUAAUACCUAGGAAGAGAAACAUGCUUUCUAUCUGAUGGAAGCACUGGCCCACUUUUGCCACCGUUUUCCUCGAGGUGAGCAAAUUGCUUCCUGAAUUGAUCAAUGGCACUGCAUAAAAGAGGCAGACAGAUAAUAUUACCAUAGUUACAAAUGUAAGAACAUUUACAGUGAAUCAGAAUAUAGAAUGAACAGGAGAGAGGAAAAGAAAGAAUUGGCAAAAGCAAAACCUAGGAUAGAGGAAGGUUGUCCUCUCUGUUCCAUUAACAUGGUCCUUGAGCAAUUGCGGAUGAUAUUCCAAUAUCUCACGGAAGAUAAGUUCCCUAAUGUCUUCUUCAGUCACUCUCUGGCGCUCGAACUCAAACUCCAUCUUUGUGAUUGGUUGGCAAGAUGGUUCUCUCUCCACUUUGGCCAGGCCUUUGAAGUAUGGAUCCGUCAAUGCCUGAUAAAAUGUCAAAUAUGGAAAAUCAUAUGUACAGAGGACAAGUUCUUAUGAUGCUAUCCGCAUAAUAAAUAACUGAUGUAACAUUAAAACUAUUAAAGAAACCUCAAGCAAAAAAAUGAGAAUAGAGUGAAGAAGGAAAUGCAUCUGACUAAAUAUGCAUACCUGUUCAGCUGUUAGCCGGUCCUUAGGAUCAAACGCUAAAAGUCUUUCCAAAAGUUUUAGUGCCAGAGGAUCUGCAUUUGGGAACUUCUGUGCAAAUUGUACAGGCUGUUUUUUCCUCAUAGUGCUCAAGUAUCUUCUUGCCUUCUCAUUUCGCACCUGACGACAAAAACAGAUGAACAUUACAUGAGGGGACCUUCAGCACUCAUGUUCUAGCCUAGAGUAUAAAUCCACCUUCAUAAUGUACAUUCAUAGAAUGAAUACUGCCAUACCCGAGAUAUUGUAUCCGAGGAAGGUGUUCCAAGAAGAUCAGUGAUCAAGUCCAACUGAUGAACCACAUUUUUACCAGGAAAUAAAGGCUUGCCUGUUAAUAUCUCAGCAAAAAUGCAACCUAUGCUCCAUAUAUCAAUAGCAGGAGUGUACUGCAAUUUCCGAAAUAACCAUUCAGUCUCAUCAAGAAAGACAAAACACUCCAAGACAUGAACAGAAAGCUAACAUCAAACCUCAACACAUAGUGCCCCUAAGAUAUGAUAUUUCAGUUUCAGAAAUUUAACAUUCUGCCUGAACAAGCAUUUUUUUAAUUAAAUUAUUUUAGAUUUUCGAAAGCUUUUUAGAGAAACCCGCUAAAAUAAAGGCCCUUAUCACCAAAUUUUAGGAUGUUUUGAUGGUUCUCGAGCAUCAGAAUACUCCUACCAGGAGUACAUGAAGACCACAACAGAUAAUCAACUUGACAAACAAAGAGGAUAAUGGUUGAUACAUGUCCAGUUGAUGAUCUUCCCUCUAGAAACAAGGUCAUAUAUAUCUUGAAGUGGCUCCUCAGCCAAGUAGAUCCCAUGGCCUACAAUUUUCAUUACUACAUAUGGAAUCUCUGACUGUCCCAGGGAAGGAGCAAGAGUGCUGCCCAUACAGGUCAAAGGUGCUCUUUCCAACUAUUAAAUUUUUACUUGGAGGUUGUACCACUAGUACAGAAUGGUUGAUAGAAUCAAAACUAAAUGCAAUGUCAUUAUGCAAGCAAAGAAAAAAUAGCACGACAUUAGAUAAAUGUUUUGUAAGUCUGUCAUCUGUAUACCUUCAAAAUAGCAUUAAAAUGUCUUUGGCAAGCAUUGUUUCAUAACAGGAGCUUCUUUAAAGUCAUUCCUUGUAAGAAGGACAAUAAAACAAGGCCAAUGUCAUCUUCAGAAUAUUUGUCUGGAAAAUGAGAGAUGAAGAAGGUCUAUGCAUCGCUGAAAUAAAAAGAUGAGAAGAAGCUUGAGGGAAAAUCAUUAUAGCAGAAUAGAUAUUGCUUGGACGCUGGAUGGGAUUCCUGAUGCUUUUGAAAAUUUUACUAACAAAAAAUCUCAUCAGAUCAAGUGCAACUAAAAGCCCAUCUAGAAGACAUACUUUCACUAGUAAACUUGUUCCUGCAGCAUGCUGAAAAUGGAUUUUCCCACAGUCCAGUCACUAGACAACAUCCCAUUGUGGAAAGAAGCUUAACAUAGCAAGACAUCAGGAAGAAACACACUACGCACAUUACUGCCCAAGCUCAAUCUACAAAAAAAAAAAAAAAAAAAAAAAAAAAUUAAAGAAGCAAAGGAAAAGAGACAGAACACACCCAAGACCAUGGAACAGGCACGAUUUCAUAAGAAAGUCAGCAAAUUCUCAGAUAGGAUUCCUAAAAACAUAAUAAACCUAUGCAAAAGGCCAAUCUAAGUGUAGCCAUGUUGCAAAAUGCUGAUUAAUGCAUGAUAUGGCAUCACAAAGAUAAAUAUUAAAUGGUCUUUUUAGUUCUGCACAUUCAAUAUAGGAUGCUUUUUUCACUCAACAGUAGAAUAAAAAAAUUACUAGACUAUAGAAACUCAAAAUCAUACUGUAAUGAGAAUUAUGGAGCGGUGCAAAGCAUACCUUAGAAAAGAAUGAUCCACAUAACUCGGGAGCUCUGUACCAUCUGGUUGCAACAUAAUCCUGCAUAAAAUAAUGGUGCUUCAGAAGGUGAAAAUAGGUAAAAGACUGGUUCGAGAUGAACUAAAAUGGCAAUUGAGUAUCUAAAUAAGCUAGAUGCUAGCAAAUAGAUUAGAAGAUGACAUAAGAAAAUCAGACUCAACUCCUUGACAUACCGUCCAAAAUAUUGUUGUUGGGGUAUCGCUAAAUGCAACUCUCGCUAGUCCAAAAUCACAAAUUUUGAGUUUGCAGUUGGAAUUUGCCAGUAUGUUCUUGGGCUUUAAAUCACGAUGAUAAACAUUAGCUGCACUCAAAUGGGUUUGUAUUAAAACCAUGCCAAACACUCUUGACGCUACCAAUAAUAAACUACAGUAUAUUCCAUCAAGCAAAUAAUGCACAAGAUUGACAAGGCAUCAUAAAUAUAAAUGUCGCCCACUAAAUAAUGAAUCAAAAAGCAUAAGCAUUUCCUGUGCUUCAUAAACAAGGGUUUCUAAUAAAUGCAGCAAAUGCACACUAACAUGAUAACUCAGAUAGAAUUAAUGGAACAUUAAAAUACUAAAAUUUGGAGCAUACAAAACACCUAAAUCAAGAUGCACAGUGAAAACUGAAUAAAUAGACUCAGAUGACAACCCACUGCCUGAUGAUUGUGGGAUUUUUUAUGGCAUCAUUUAUUAAACUGAAAGGAAAUUUUAGCUCUCUUGUAUAGACUUACCUCAUACUUUUGAUAGAAAUGAUAAGAUUUUGUCAAAAAAAAAAAAGAGAAUUAACUGAUAAACAAUAUUUCAUGACAAGACACCAUAUAAACAAAAGAACUAUGAAUGAAACUUUUUAGGAGUAGGAACCAAUUGAAGCAGAAACAAAAAAGAAAGGAAAAGAAAAAAAGAAAAGAUCUAUUGCUACUGCCACAGUCAUAAUGUCUUACCAAGAAAAUCCACAAAAUGUUUGCUUUCAUCUAUAUUGAUUCAUGAUGUAGCAUAACUGGAAGGUUAAUGAUAACUUUUCUGUUAUAACUGAAUUAUGUCGAUUAAGGAGAGUUCAAAUGUGUAAUCGCAGCAUGUCAGUGACCAGGGAACAUCAAGGGCGGGGCAAUUCUUUUCCCUGAACCAAUCUGGUUUGGAUAGUGCAUAUUGUAAUACAGGUAAAAUUUAGAUCGGACAUCAUGACUUCAAUUUUUACAUGGAAUGAGAUAGACAAGACACUGCCAGAAAUGGUUAAUUAUAGGUUGGACACGUCAAAAUGACUGUUAAUAGGCUCGUCUUCUUCUCCCUUGUCCGUCUCUUAGAAUAUGUCAAAGAAAGACACAAGAAAGAGUGACUGUUGUAGCAAGAGACAGUAAACUCGUCUGUUCAAACAUGAUAACAAAAACUAAACGGAGCAAAUUGUCAAAGUGUAGCUAGCUUUACCCAAAACAAACUUAAAUCUGAGUGUACAAAUGAUUCUUUCAACUAAAUUUCAUCCUAUUCCUCCAUUCUCUUCAGCUCUCUCCUUCGAUUCUCAGCAGUUGCAUUUCUCAGCCUCCUCCCGAUAGAAACAAAAGGCAAGACAGCCUGUUUUAAUUUCCUCUCUUUAUCGCCUAUUUCAAGCAAGAUCAUACAAUAUCUAACUACAAAGCAAGCAUAUUAUACUGAAGCCACUUGCCAAAUUCUGUUCGAUAUUUAGAUGAAUCUGAUUAAGGUAGCAAUUUUUUUCAGCGAACAUUAAGCUGAAUAUUUCAGUCAUUUAUGUUGAACAAAUUCUGGUAGACAGUUAGGGGGCAUGAAUAACAUGAGAUGCUCUAAAAUAAAUGAUAACUUAAGGAUAAAGAUUAUGCCACAACUGUGAAUUAGAAUGUAAAGUCCAACAGAUGCACGACUAUUAAGUUCACAAGAGAGUAGCAUGUCUAAAGAUGAAGAGGGACUUAAAUUUGGGUUGAAAGUUCAACAAACAAAGGCAACAUCUAAUGAUACUUAAAUGGACAUUGCAAAAAAAGAUUAGAAGAUUUGCCUUCAUUAACAUUUAAUAAUUAUUCAUUAACAAAAUCAGAUGUCUUGUUAACACCAGACCCAGCUACAGAUGGUACAAGUUGCUAGCAAUAGUUAUGUGCAGAGAGGCACUAUAUCCUUCAAUGGGUAAAAAUGUUCAAUAAGAAUUUUUUUGAAGAAAAUUUUAUAUCAAAUCACUCGAUGGCACAAAUGAUGUUUGGUAAUAAUAAGAAGGUUCAAACCUGUAUGGAUAUAUUUCAAAGCACGCAGAAGCUGAUAAAGAAAAAACUGAUAAUGUUCUUUUGUCAAGUCGUCAUUAGCUUUGAUGACUUGAUGAAGAUCCGACUCCAUGAGCUCAAAAACAACAUAAAUAUCUUUGAAAUCCCUUCUUGAUGGAGGCAGCAUAAUGUGCUUGAUCUCUACAAUGUCAGGAUGUCUUAGAAGCCUGAGAAGCUUAAUCUCACGGAGGAUCCGAGCAGCAUCAGAUAAGUGUUCAAAGAUAUCAUGUAUCUUUUUGAUUGCCACUUUUUCACCAGUAUGUGUAUCAAUUGCUGAACACACAACUCCAUAGCUUCCUUUACCAAUGACCUCCUGAAUUUUGUAUCUAUUGGCAUCACCAUAUUCAGUGAAAAAUUCCAUCUCUGAUGAACUCUGCAAAAAGUCAUCCAAUUGCAAUAACCGAUGACAUUUACAGCAAUACAGCAGAUAACUUUUAUCGAUGCUAAUGGCAGAGGAAAAAAGAUUUUUAUGUGGAAUCAAAAGAAAAUGGAAACAAAAUAAAAUUUUAACAGCAGAUUUUACUAAAAAGGCCAUCGCCAUGUAAUGUCCAUCUCUCUCAAAAUGUGUAUAGAUCCCAGAAAAAGUUAUAAGAUAACACCAACAGAACAUAUAUUUAUUCUAUUAUUGCUAAUCAAUUAAAAAUGACUGAAAAGAACUACAGUGAACUACUGGCUUCUCAGAGUCCCGCAACUCUCCUAGAGCUCUUGGAGAUUAUAUCAUAAACAAUUUUCAUUACAUCUAUAGUUCAACAGUCAACGGAAUUUCAUGUAAAUAAAUUAAAUUCCUAGAACUUUAUAAAAACAUUAAAAAGUAAAAGGCGAAAGUUGCCAAGCAGGCUUUUAUGUUAAAGAAAAAACCUUUUUAAUUCAAAUUAAGUAUAAGAGAAUUUCACAAUUAUACAUUUCACUUAAUGCAAGGAGCUAGGAAGCAAUUUUUUCCUGAUCAAAGAAACAUUGUUAAAGCAGGGUUCUUCUUGCUGUCACAUAUGCACUGAUCCACUUGUCCUCAAGGACAGGUGACAGUUGGCAUGCAUGGCCCUGUGCCAGUCACACAAGCAUUGACUGAGAUUUAUUGAAUUUUCAAAAACUAAAUUGUUUAAGAGUUUAGCAUCAAAGAAUAACACCAAGAACCAUCUCAGACAUGAUAUAGGCGUGUCAAGCCUCUCAAUCUUAAAGUUUAUCUCUCUUUACAAAAUACCAGAAAAUUUUCAACCAUAUCUAAUGAUAAUUCAACUGAACUUCGCACUCAUCAAUGCUGAAAAUGGAAACAAGAAUAGAAACAACAACAACAACAAUAACAAAGAGAAUUCCCUAAACUCCUUGCUUACGCUCAGAACACGACCUGCCCCCAUCGCACCAACCACACAGAACAGGCAGUCCAACAAAACAAUAACUUCUGUAGAAGGUACGCCACUAUGAAAAAGAAAAACAGGCAAAACUAGGCGGUUGAUUGAGGUCAUGAGAUGCGAGAAAACAACUCAAAAGGAAACCUACCUUUUAUACUAAAAAUAUUUGCAUUCCAAGAAAAAGGAAAAGCGAGGAAGAACUUAUCAUAAAAAAAUGCGGGAAGUGAGCGUGGAACCUGGUUCUUAGAAACAGUCUUGUCAUGGACGAUAAGAAACAAAAGAAGAAGAGGAUUGCAAGAAGAAAAAGGGAAUCGAGAAAGGAGAAUUAUGGAAGAAGAAAACGAGCAAAAAAAGUUGAACAGUAAACAACCAGCUUUCGAACGAUUACGGACGAUGCAAAAAAAUCGUAUUUACUAGCACAUCGCCAAUCCAGUUCGUCUACGAAAAGACUUCCCCUGAGAAACCAGUCUCAUACCCAAAUCGAACAGAGAAGCAAAACCAACAGCCUAAGAACAGGUCGAGAAAAAAUCUGACCUUCCUUCGAUGAUCUUGCUGCAUUUCUUCACAGAUCUCCAAACCCCAAGAUUCAAGAUCUCGCCUUUCCCUCUUCUUGCCUCACGUUCCACUCUUUCCCUUGUUCUUGAUGUCUCUCCUCAAAUCUCUCUCGAAACCGAAAGAUCUACGGGAAAUCAGCCACAUUUGUCCCAGCUACCCGUGCCCCGGAUCACCAGCCCGAAGUCCCGCCCCGACCACCGCCAAUCCUCCGGAUAAUAUAAACACCGAAGCCGAUCAAGCCGAUCCCUCAUGCACUCCCCCACCCUCGAGACGACAACGCGGGCGACGAGGCCGCCGGCCGCUCCAAUCAUAGAGUGGAGAAGAAGCCCCUCCUCCUCCCCGCUUGUUUCAUCUCCGCCACCGCUGCCGCCGCGCCCAGUGCCACACAAUUCCGGUACGUCCGCCGCUCAAGAACCACUCCACCAAUCGACCGAGGCCGAGAUCGAAAUAGAUAUCUAAAGCGAAAGAGAUAAAUGGGAAGGGGGGGGGAGGGGAUCCAAUCCCUAAUCCUGGGCGGGUUAUGCUUCGAUUUUCAGAAAGAAGAAGAAGAGAAUGGGGGAGAGGAGGGAGUGGGGUUCUUGUUCUUGUGGUCAUGACACUGGGGCGUUUAUAUAUUUUCGGGGGACGAGAAUACCCCUCACCGGCAAGCGGGGUGAAGUGGCAGUAUGGGGUAAAUAAGGUGGGUUGGGGGGCGUUUUUGAACACGCGGCCAGCGGAUCCGGUCCGAUUUGGCGGGUUGCGUUUGCGUGCGUGCUGCCGGACUCGGCGCUGGCAGGCGGAGGUCGGAGCCGUGGAAGCUUCCCUCUGCUUGAAUUGAUGGAGUUUAAUGGGGGUGGUAAGUUUUAGCUAGAAGAAUUGAUAUCUCAACUAAUUCUUUAUUUUUUUAGGUUUCAAGUCCCGUGUUUCUAGAACCAACCGUUGCAGGUUUUUCCGACUGAUAUCUCAACUAAAAUCAUGCUUUUCUAUGAAGACUCUUGAUAGGUGUAUAAAUUGGGUCAUAGAUAACCCCUAUUUCAUUUAAUGAACUCGAAUUUUCAUACAUCUAUACAUAUAUUUUAUGUAUAUCCUUUCCCUUUCUUUCUCUUUUUUUCUAAAACAGACAUUUAUACAUUACGAAUAUGAUCACAUCCAAUAAAAUUAGAAACAAUAAGUUUUAGAAUGCCGUAAGCAAUUCUCCCUCUCCAGCCCACAGUGCCCCCAGAGUAGCAGGCCACAUAAGAAGCCAUUCAGUCCGCAGCCCCGUUGGUCUCUCUAAACACAUGUUUAAUCUGAAAGGUCACUUCAUCUUUCACCAUCGCCCAAAUAUUCCGAAGCAGGAGGUGUCUCUCUCCACCAUCGCUCAGGCGGCCCUAAAUCUAACUUAUCACGAUAGCCGAGUCGCCCUCCAAUAUAAUUGAGCUAAUCUGUAGCACUCGUCGUGCAUGACUCAGGUCAGCCCAUAUCGCCCGCCGUGCAUCAUGGAAACAGAAAAGUAUAUGGGCAUGCAUAUGCAUAAAUUAUCAAAUUGCCAUGUGUUAAUUAUACAACGCCAAGUAUUUCUUUUCAAUGAUCUUAACAGAGUUGCAGUGUAGUGAUGAUGUUCUCUAAUGAAGAAUGUUCCCACCAGAAAAACUGCAGAAAUAUUCUAUUUAUUGAGGGAAUUAAGAUGAUUGAUCAUAAUUGACUAAAAUGAUUGUGAUGCUUUGUCAUUGAUUGAUUUUUAUAGUACCCUGAAAAAAUCUAGUAUGUUAGUUCCUAAUCAUCAUUUUCUUCAAAGCGAGCAACUUUGUAUCCGUUUGAAAAUCUUCAUCAUGGUUACAAAGCCAGACCAAUCAUUUCACAAUAAGAAAUGGUAAUAUUUAGUUGCGAUGGUCCUAACCUAUGUCCAUCCUCUCCCCACUAAAAGUUGCAGAAAUAUCCAUCAAUAGAUGCUUAUCUUUUGUUCGAUCCUGUUAGGUGUGGGGUUUCGCCAACCACAAGUUUAAAAUAAUGCACCGAUAAUGACUCGUCGUACUUCAAUGUGGACCAAUUAACAAAAGCAAUCAAAGAAUAGACUUGAUCACAAAGAUACUAACCCCAACAAGUAAUGGAAAUUUAAUAGUACCAACUCUCCCAAGCGAAAAAUUUCUUAUGCAAUAGACAUAUUGAACAUUCAUAGUAUAGUUUUCGCCAGAACAUGAAUAAUCUUACGAGCCGGAUCUAAGGAUGGAUCUCCUCCCAAACAAUUGAAGCCACCAUUCUAAUGCUAUUACAGCUGUUACUUGAGACCGUUCCAGGCAUUGAACAUCUCAAAUUAGUAGUUCAUUACCAUCUUUAUCCUUUCUUAUACCAAUGUUCCAACCAUAUAUUGGUAGGGGUACAAAUGGAUCAGGUUGGAUCAGAACUAAUCCUGAGUAACUCCUAUCCAAUUCGAUUUUUUGUUCGGGUCCUAAUUUUGAACCUACAACUUCCUUAUUUUGGCGCUGUAGUGCACCAAAUAUAGCUGUACGGUACUAAGAGUCCAACUAAGAAGACAGUGGGGCUGGCUGUCCAUUAAGCUGUGUCUGGCUUUUGAGUUCAGAGGUCAGAGAAUGGGGACCAAGCCAUGCGCACGGAUAAGAGUUGAAGGACACAAGAGGACGGCCUUUUUAUAUAGUCCUUCCAUAUACCUUCACCAUCCCCAGUCCUGAGGACCUCACCAUAUACUAUUGAGAGCUCACAAAGCCUCACCUACCAUCGCCAAGGCUGUCCAUAAUAUUAAUCUAAAGCUACACACCUUCCUUAAAAAACUCAUCCCUCUGAACCAAAUCGUUACGUUUUUGAUCUAAACAAAAAUAUAUCUUAAUUAAUCAAUAAUAGAAGAAGUUGAGUCAUGUAUUAGAAGUCAAAAAGAACAAGAAUGAAGGGAGGCUUUCUAUGCUAAUUUUUUCCGAUAAAAUGCUCUCAUUUUAGAUUGCUCAAGCAGAGAAUUCUAUUUUUCCUUGUCAACAUGGUUCCGCCUUAGUUGCAUAGGAUGAAGUUCCAGCCAGCUACAUCUUCUAUAAAACAUCCUCUUAAAAGUUAAAUAUGAUUGAAGCAUAUUAUGUUAUGGCUACUAUUCCACUAUUAUGCAGUCUUUGAAAGGAAAGAAACUGCAUAACAAAUCAGCCCUGCUUUCGACUUGUUCCUCAGCUGCAAUCAACCUCUUCAAUGACUGAGAAAUAACAAUUUUGUUUCUUUCAGCUACAGCUCCUGUUCAAUCUCUGCUUCCUAUCAUUUGUCAAAUCUCGAGCUUCAGUUAUUAUCGCGGUGGUGGUUUAAGUGAAAUACCUUCAUCUGAUUUUGUUGAAUUUCCAAUGGUACAGUAUGCUGCCUUUGAAGAGUUGUUCUUGUUUCUUCAAUUGUUGGAAACUCACAACAAAGAAAUGAAGCAUUCUGGUAGGAAGCUAAAUUGAAACAAAGACCAAUCUGAUAGAAAGUUGAACUCAACUCCUAACUAUCAGUUGGGUACAAUCUUUUCCUCAUCAUAUUGCUUACUGUUUCGUCUAUUUUUUCUCACAGGCUGUUACUUAUUCCCCUCCUGCCUUCAUAUUGUACAUUCCAUCCCCAUGUUUUUCUGGCACAUGUACAUACUUCUCUCUUGUAUUCAAUAAAGCAGCUGAGAGCCUAACGCGGUAUUUAACAAAUGAUCUUUUUGCCUUCUGCGCUAUUUGCAUGCAGGCACAUGAGUGCUGAUGGGAAUCCCUGUCUCUUCUCUUCUUGGUCCACAGCAUGGUCCAAAGUUACGGCGCUUGGAACAUUAUAUAACAGCCACUAUACCAGAAAAUUACAGUGUCGUUUACGACCAGUAAUAAUAUCCAAGACACUUGCUAUUUGAUUUUAUAUAUAUGUCAUUCUAUCAUAAUAAUUGUAUAAAGAAAAUAAUGUUCUUCUUAGUUAAUAACAAAGUAAUGUUUCUAAAUUCGAUCAAUUGCAAUAUAAUGUUCUUAUCAAUUUAGUUGUCCAUUAAUUUAUGCAGAUAAUGAUUUUGCUAUCUUAUUUUUACUGAAAUGAUUGUUGUAAUAUGUAUAUUUUUUUUUUCUGCUGAAACGGAUGAUUCAUACAUAUUUAGUAUGGAUACAUCUAAUAAAAUUAGAAUUCUCCAACCCAUAAAGUCCCUUUGGAAUGACCGGCGAUAUACGAAGCCAUUCAGUCUGCGUCCCCAUUUGCUUCUCUGAAAUAAUUGUUAUAAUAUAUUGAUAACUAUAGUGAGCCUAUUGUAUAAGAAUAAUCAAUGUUAUUUCCACAUCUCUGGGACAAAAUUUGUACGGCACAAAAUUUUCAUGGGCAAAGCAUAAGUGAACUUUUGAAAGUGAUGUUGUUGGCCACUGAGAUGGUAGCUCAGUGGAACAGAGUUUUAUUUCCAAUCAAGUGGUUCCGAGUUCGAAAUGCACGGACGUCGAUUAAAUUGUGGAGACAGGAUGCUCUCUGCUUGGAUACAGGGUUUGGAAGGGUUACUGGUCCGCUAGUAGCCUCGGUGGUGCCAGAUGUCGAAGCUUAAAGGAAUCACCGAACUGGGCUCAUGGAUGGAGAAAGUAUGAGUAAAAUUGGCCGGGAUGCCCAAUAUACGGUCAUUUCUGCCCGCAUCGAAUAUUCUUCUGGCAAGAUGGGGGCACAGUGGAGACGGCUAUACGAGAGUGGGCUUGUCCCUUCCUUCCUCCUUCUCCAAGGAAAAAAAAAAGUGAUUUUGUUGAGACCUUUUUGUUUCUGUUUUGAGCAAAGGUGGGGUUCGAACCUUAAUCUAAGUAACCAUCUAAAUUCUGAAAAAUUCAGAAGCGUGCACAGUACCUAACGUAAAGCGGGCAGCGGUUGCUAUCACAUGAGCGUUACCGCUACUCUUUUCUAUUUUAUAUUAUCCAAUCGAACGCCGUGAAGCCUCUUCGCAUUUCCCUUUCCGUCUGACAUCGACUCGCUCGGUGUCGGUGCCGUUUAGCUUGCGGCUCCCAUCGGCUACGUUUUCGAGGUACAACGUGUCAGGCUUUUGGUGAUGGCAUUCUCUGUUCUCUCCACCUCUCAUCCAAAUCCCCGAGCAAGUCCUCAUCCAAAGGAGAAAUAAAUUUAUCCAUAUCUUCAGGUAAGGCUACUGAUAGAGUCAGCCAGUCAGGAUGGUGAGAUUAGCUUGCUGUGCCACAAAAUUUUUCUCUUCACUGGUAGACUCGAAGUAUGAGCAAGUGUAAAUCCACCAUGAUCAAUUGGCUUGAAGUAUAUGAUUCUAUUUAUGAAUUGGGCGGCCUCCUCUCUUGUUUUGUAAACCACCGUGCUAUUAUUUUAAAUAAGUCUAGAAUGUGUAACGCUAUUAUGCCUCCUCUUAUUAUAUGACAUCUAUUUUUUACCAACCCAAUAUUGGUUUGAUUUAAAUAUCUACUAUGAUUCAGAAUUAUAUUAGAAUGGACUUGCCGUGGCAGAGAAUGUUGUUAUGAAAUGUGUGUGUGUGUGUCUCUCUCUCCGUUCUAAAUUAUUUUUAGCUUUUGUUUGAAUGCUCUAAGUUCCAAUCAAUUAAGGCCAAUGUUACAGUUGAAUUAGUGCAUCUCCAAUGAUUUCAGCUCAAGUGACAAUGGAUUCUAGAAUGUGAUGUUUUUUAUAAAAAAAGGCAAAGUUAUCAAGGAAAAUCUCUUCUUUUUUUUUUAUUCUCAGUGCCUUCCCUUGUCAUUGCCUAGGAGCGAAAAAAACCAAAAACAAAAUCUUGUACGCUACGAUGUAUCUUAAGGAUGUUGUGAUCCUAUUAAUCAGAAAAAAGUUUGAGAUGUAAAACAUANNNNNNNNNNNNNNNNNNNNNNNNNNNNNNNNNNNNNNNNNNNNNNNNNNNNNNNNNNNNCCCUAACAAGUUCACAUUAUGAUUGGGAAAAAUUGUUUGGACAAGCGGGGAUGCCCUGUGGAACCAAGAAGUAUAUUAAUAGGCCUUGACUUACAGCAUCAUUACGUAGCAUUACCAACACAUCAACAACAUUAACAUAGGCCUUGACUUGAUCAUUAAACUACCACUAAACUAAGUGGUUUGAUUCUUGCCAAUGGACUUCGAACCAUAUGUGGAAUGGCACUUUACUUCUUGGUGCUUGGGCAAUGAACAUGCAAGUUCCAGGUUUAAAUCUUCUGGAGAUAAGCUUCUCUCUCUUAGUUAGGAGAAAAAAAAUUGAUUGAUUCGAAAUCAUUUCUAUUAGUUCUAUAGACUGAAUUAGCCCAUAUGUUCUCAACCACUUAUACUGUCUUUGGCUAUUAAUUUCUUGCUACUCAUCUAUAAUGCAACUGGUAGGUAGAAUACCAAAUAUCACAUUCCCGGAAGCACAAUACUUGUUCAAAUGUCAACAGUGCAAUAAUACCAAGUGGAUAACACCUAUGGUCACAAAAUGAAAGCGGAAUUAUUAGGUGGGAAGCCCCACAUCAAUACUCACUAACUACCCAAUCCUUUGAGUCUAGGCCUAAUUUUUUGAAGAGUUCCCUCAAA
rnacentral:lncRNA from 1 species